GAAGCUGACCAGACAGUCGCCGCUUCGUCGUCGUCCUCCUUCGGGGGGAGACGGGCGGAGGGGAGGAAAGUCCGGGCUCCAUAGGGCAAGGUGCCAGGUAACGCCUGGGGGGUGUCACAGCCCACGACCAGUGCAACAGAGAGCAAACCGCCGAUGGCCCGCGCAAGCGGGAUCAGGUAAGGGUGAAAGGGUGCGGUAAGAGCGCACCGCGCGGCUGGUAACAGUCCGCGGCACGGUAAACUCCACCCGGAGCAAGGCCAUAUAGGGGUUCAUAAGGUACGGCCCGUACUGAACCCGGGUAGGCUGCUUGAGCCAGUGAGCGAUUGCUGGCCUAGAUGAAUGACUGUCCACGACAGAACCCGGCUUAUCGGUCAGUUUCACCU
rnacentral:RNase_P_RNA from 1 species